AACGAACGCUGGCGGCAUGCCUAACACAUGCAAGUCGAACGAGACCUUCGGGUCUAGUGGCGCACGGGUGCGUAACGCGGGGGAACCUGCCCUUAGGUUCGGAAUAACUCCCCGAAAGGGGUGCUAAUACCGGAUAAUGUCUUCGGACCAAAGAUUUAUCGCCUUUGGCUGGGCCCGCGUUGGAUUAGCUAGUUGGUAGGGUAAAAGCCUACCAAGGCGACGAUCCAUAGCUGGUCUGAGAGGAUGCUCAGCCACACUGGGACUGAGACACGGCCCAGACUCCUACGGGAGGCAGCAGUGGGGAAUAUUGGACAAUGGGCGAAAGCCUGAUCCAGCAAUGCCGCGUGAGUGAUGAAGGCCUUAGGGUUGUAAAGCUCUUUUACCCGGGAUGAUAAUGACAGUACCGGGAGAAUAAGCUCCGGCUAACUCCGUG
rnacentral:rRNA from 1 species